AUUGAACGCUGGCGGCAGGCCUAACACAUGCAAGUCGAGCGGAUGAAGGGAGCUUGCUCCUGGAUUCAGCGGCGGACGGGUGAGUAAUGCCUAGGAAUCUGCCUGGUAGUGGGGGAUAACGUCCGGAAACGGGCGCUAAUACCGCAUACGUCCUGAGGGAGAAAGUGGGGGAUCUUCGGACCUCACGCUAUCAGAUGAGCCUAGGUCGGAUUGGCUAGUUGGUGGGGUAAAGGCCUACCAAGGCGACGAUCCGUAACUGGUCUGAGAGGAUGAUCAGUCACACUGGAACUGGGACACGGUCCAGACUCCUACGGGAGGCAGCAGUGGGGAAUAUUGGACAAUGGGCGAAAGCCUGAUCCAGCCAUGCCGCGUGUGUGAAGAAGGUCUUCGGAUUGUAAAGCACUUUAAGUUGGGAGGAAGGGCAGUAAGUUAAUACCUUGCUGUUUUGACGUUACCAACAGAAUAAGCACCGGCUAACUUCGUG
rnacentral:rRNA from 1 species